rnacentral:rRNA from 1 species
CGGUGGAGCAUGUGGUUCAAUUCGACGCAACGCGAAGAACCUUACCUGGGCUCGAACGGGUAGUCAACGCCGGUGGAAACACGUCCCGGUCUUCGAGGUGUGACGAGCGCAACCCCUGUCCUGUGUUGCCAUCGGGAUGUCAAGUCUCAUGGCCUUUAUGUCCAGGCUACAUACAUGGACGGUACAACCGCAGCAAACCCGCGAGGGGGAGCCUCGGAAAAAACCGUUCUCAGUUCGGAUUGCAGUGCAACUCGCCUGCAUGAAGCUGGAAUCGCUAGUAAUGGAGAUCAGCACGCUGCCGUGAAUACGUUCCCGGGCCUUGUACACACCGCCGUCACAUCACGAAAGUGAAUUGUACUAGAAGUCUGCAGGCUGACCCGCAAGGGAGGCAGCGGCCCAAGUAUGAUCCAUGAUUGGGGUGAAGUCGUACAAGGU